rnacentral:rRNA from 1 species
AGGACGAACGCUGGCGGCGUGCCUAACACAUGCAAGUCGAACGGGGGUAGCAAUACCCUAGUGGCGAACGGGUGCGUAACACGUGAAGAACUUGUCCAUCGGCGGGGGAUAGCCGGCCCAACGGCCGGGUAAUACCGCGUACGCUUGUCGAGUGGCAUCACUUGACAAGGAAAGCAGCAAUGCACCGAUGGAGAGCUUCGCGGCCUAUCAGCUUGUUGGCGGGGUAAUGGCCCACCAAGGCAACGACGGGUAGCUGGUCUGAGAGGAUGAUCAGCCACAUUGGGACUGAGACACGGCCCAGACUCCUACGGGAGGCAGCAGUGGGGAAUAUUGCGCAAUGGGCGAAAGCCUGACGCAGCGACGCCGCGUGUGGGAUGACGGCCUUCGGGUUGUAACCACUGUCGCGAGGGACGAAAAAUGACGGUACCUCGAAAGGAAGCACCGGCUAACUCUGUGCCAGCACGCCGCGGUAA